UACGAAGGGGGCUAGCGUUGUUCGGAUUUACUGGGCGUAAAGCGCACGUAGGCGGAUUGUUAAGUCAGGGGUGAAAUCCCGGGGCUCAACCUCGGAACUGCCCUUGAUACUGGCGAUCUUGAGUAUGAGAGAGGUAUGUGGAACUCCGAGUGUAGAGGUGAAAUUCGUAGAUAUUCGGAAGAACACCAGUGGCGAAGGCGACAUACUGGCUCAUUACUGACGCUGAGGCGCGAAAGCGUGGGGAGCAAACAGG
rnacentral:rRNA from 1 species